UACGGAGGGGGCAAACGUUGCUCGGAAUUAUUGGGCGUAAAGCGCACGUAGGCGGUCUUGUAAGUUGGAUGUGAAAGACCUUGGCUUAACCAAGGAAGUGCUUUCAAAACUGCUUGGCUUGAGUACCGGAGAGGUUCGCGGAAUUCUCGGUGUAGCGGUGAAAUUCGUAGAUAUCGGGAGGAACACCAGUGGCGAAGGCGGCGACCUGGACGGAUACUGACGCUGAGGUGCGAAAGCGUGGGGAGCAAACAGG
rnacentral:rRNA from 1 species